ACUGGGCGUAAAGCGCGCGUAGGUGGCUUGAUAAGCCGGUUGUGAAAGCCCCGGGCUCAACCUGGGAACGGCAUCCGGAACUGUCAGGCUAGAGUGCAGGAGAGGAAGGUAGAAUUCCCGGUGUAGCGGUGAAAUGCGUAGAGAUCGGGAGGAAUACCAGUGGCGAAGGCGGCCUUCUGGACUGACACUGACACUGAGGUGCGAAAGCGUGGGUAGCAAACAGGAUUAGAUACCCUGGUAGUCCACGCCGUAAACGAUGUCGACUAGCCGUUGGGCUCCUUGAGAGCCUUGUGGCGGAGUUAACGCAUUAAGUCGACCGCCUGGGGAGUACGGCCGCAAGGUUAAAACUCAAUUGAAUUGACGGGGGCCCGCACAAGCGGUGGAGCAUGUGGUUUAAUUCGAUGCAACGCGAAGAACCUUACCUACCCUUGACAUCCUGCGAAUCAGGUAGAGAUACCUGAGUGCCUUCGGGAGCGCAGAGACAGGUGCUGCAUGGCUGUCGUCAGCUCGUGUUGUGAAAUGUUGGGUUAAGUCCCGUAACGAGCGCAACCCUUGUCCUUAUUUGCCAGCGAUUCGGUCGGGAACUCUAAGGAGACUGCCGGUGACAAACCGGAGGAAGGUGGGGACGACGUCAAGUCAUCAUGGCCCUUACGGGUAGGGCUACACACGUGCUACAAUGGCCGGUACAAAGGGCGGCGAGCUCGCGAGAGUCAGCAAAUCCCUUAAAGCCGGUCUCAGUCCGGAUCGGAGUCUGCAACUCGACUCCGUGAAGUCGGAAUCGCUAGUAAUCGUGGAUCAGAAUGCCACGGUGAAUACGUUCCCGGGCCUUGCACACACCGCCCGU
rnacentral:rRNA from 1 species